UUGACUUAUUAAGUACAAAGACUCAGAGAGGCCAUAAAAGUUCGAGAGUUAGAUACCUCCGGCGGGCGCCCGAGUAGGGCCGGGGACCCCGGAGACCGGGGCCAACCCGCCGAAGCAACGUUGAAGGUAUGUUCACAAUGGUUUGGGAGUUUUGCAACUCUUUAAUGAUCCCUCCGCUGGUUCACCAACGGAGA
rnacentral:misc_RNA from 1 species